rnacentral:rRNA from 1 species
GAUGAACGCUAGCGGCAGGCUUAAUACAUGCAAGUCGUGGGGCAGCGCAGUGUAGCAAUACAUGGGCGGCGACCGGCAAACGGGUGCGCAAUACGUACGCAACCUUCCUUUAAGCGGGGAAUAGCCCAGGGAAACUUGGAUUAAUACUCCAUAACAUAAUGAAGAGGCAUCUCUUUAUUAUUAAAGCUCCGGCACUUAAAGAUGGGCGUACGGCUGAUUAGGUAGUUGGCGGGGUAACGGCCCACCAAGCCUUCGAUCAGUAGCUGAUGUGAGAGCAUGAUCAGCCACACGGGCACUGAGACACGGGCCCGACUCCUACGGGUGGCAG